CACGUAGGGGGCAAGCGUUGUCCGGAUUUAUUGGGCGUAAAGAGCUCGUAGGCGGCUUGUCGCGUCGUCCGUGAAAACCUGCAGCUCAACUGCAGGCUUGCGGUCGAUACGGGCAGGCUGGAGUUCGGUAGGGGAGACUGGAAUUCCAGGUGUAGCGGUGAAAUGCGUAGAUAUCUGGAGGAACACCGGUGGCGAAGGCGGCAUCCUGGACCGGUAUUGACGCUGAGGCGCGAAAGCUAGGGGAGCAAACGGG
rnacentral:rRNA from 1 species